rnacentral:misc_RNA from 1 species
AAAGUCGUAACAAGGUUGCUGUAGGUGAACCUGCAGCAGGAUCAUUACGUGUAGGGGCUUCGGCCCUGAAGAUACCACCCUUUGUCUUUUGUACUCUUGUUUCCUCGGCGGCUACCGCCGCCAAUGGGGACUCCUACACCCUUCGUAAGCAGUCUUGUCUGAUACAAAUACAAUAAUCAAAACUUUCAACAACGGAUCUCUUGGUUCUG